GAGUGUAGGUGGCUCAUUAAGUCACAUGUGAAAUCCCCGGGCUUAACCUGGGAACUGCAUGUGAUACUGGUGGUGCUAGAAUAUGUGAGAGGGAAGUAGAAUUCCAGGUGUAGCGGUGAAAUGCGUAGAGAUCUGGAGGAAUACCGAUGGGGAAGGCAGCUUCCUGGCAUAAUAUUGACACUGAGAUUCGAAAGCGUGGGUAGCAAACAGGAUUAGAUACCCUGGUAGUCCACGCCGUAAACGAUGUCUACUAGCCGUUGGGGUCCUUGAGACUUUAGUGGCGCAGUUAACGCGAUAAGUAGACCGCCUGGGGAGUACGGCCGCAAGGUUAAAACUCAAAUGAAUUGACGGGGGCCCGCACAAGCGGUGGAGCAUGUGGUUUAAUUCGAUGCAACGCGAAGAACCUUACCUGGUCUUGACAUAGUGAGAAUCUUUCAGAGAUGAGAGAGUGCCUUCGGGAAUUCACAUACAGGUGCUGCAUGGCUGUCGUCAGCUCGUGUCGUGAGAUGUUGGGUUAAGUCCCGCAACGAGCGCGACCCUUUUCCUUAUUUGCCAGCGGGUUAAGCCGGGAACUUUAAGGAUACUGCCAGUGACAAACUGGAGGAAGGCGGGGACGACGUCAAGUCAUCAUGGCCCUUACGACCAGGGCUACACACGUGCCACAAUGGUAGGUACAGAGGGUUGCUACACAGCGAUGUGAUGCUAAUCUCAAAAAGCCUAUCGUAGUCCGGAUUGGAGUCUGCAACUCGACUCCAUGAAGUCGGAAUCGCUAGUAAUC
rnacentral:rRNA from 1 species